UGAGUCCUACGGGAGGCAGCAGUGAGGAAUAUUGGUCAAUGGGCGAGAGCCUGAACCAGCCAAGUCGCGUGAGGGAAGACGGUCCUAUGGAUUGUAAACCUCUUUUGCCGGGGAGCAAAAAGCGGUACGUGUACCGCAUCGAGAGUACCCGGAGAAAAAGCAUCGGCUAACUCCGUGCCAGCAGCCGCGGUAAUACGUAUGGGGCAAGCGUUAUCCGGAUUUACUGGGUGUAAAGGGAGCGUAGGCGGCCUGGCAAGCCUGAUGUGAAAUACCGGGGCCCAACCCCGGGGAUGCAUUGGGAACUG
rnacentral:rRNA from 1 species